AAUGUGAAUUUGGAGAGAGAGGAGAGGAGAGGAGAGAAAGAGAAAGGGAGAGAGGCCUGGCAUCCAUUAACGGGGUCCUUAUUAGCUGCGGUUAUCACUUGUUUCUUCUUCAUCUCUCCAAGGAACGUUUUUUUCAUCCUCUCCUUUAGGCUUACAAACGUUUUUUGCUGCAGGAGCCUUAUCACAUAUUCCUCCAUUAGCUCAACGUGUUAUUAACUUGUCUGGUAUUAUGCUUCAUUAACUAUUCGUAUUAUUAACUUGUCUGAUAUUUUUAGACGGUACUAGGUUUUAUAUUUACUCCUUUGUUUAUACUUUAUUUUAAGGCGACAGAGCAAGUUUUAAUGAAAGAUAGAGAAAGAAAAUCCACAAUGUAUUUUAUUUUAACUUCUUUCUUACUUGUCAUUGUGUGCGUAUUGCGUGUCACUACCGCCUAAUGAAGCACAUAUAUGGAGGUGCUGUGUGUGUGUGUGUGUGUGUGUGUGUGUGUGUGUGUGUGUGUCCUUAUCUUCCUCCACCCUCCACUGAUCACGGAGCGCCAUAGACACCCACCAUUAGUGUGUGUGUGUGUGUGUGUGUUAUGAGUUGUGGCCCGCCAAGAAAACAGUGGAGCCCGUUAGAGAGACCCAGUAGGACAUUGGACGUGCCUGAAAACACAUACACACACACACACACACACACACACACACACACACUUAUACACACAUUUACAUACAUAUAAAUCCCUGUGUAGCAUUAACAAGGGUUUGCGCAACGGUUGUCAGGUGCAUAAUCCAUUCACGGUGCCCUAAUGUGACGCAAGAAACACAAGCUCCUCGUUUCAGGUUUUAGGGUUGUCUGGUCCUCGUGUGUACGGAAGUGUGAGACCAGAGUCGAGUAGGAGGUGAAGAGGAAGAGGAAGAGGGAGCGUAUUUGGUACAGACGCAUGAGAUCAGAGUCGAGUAAGAGGAAGAGCGAUGCGUGUUUUUUUUUUUUUUUUUUUUUUUUUCCUACAGCAAGGGAGGCAGCUCAAGGGCAAACAACAAAAACAUCAACAAAAAGGCCCACUAAACACUGCUCCGGCAAAAGAAUAAUAGAACGAGAGGAGUUGCGUCAUUUUGCGAGAUGCGUAGAAUAUUGAAGGUCUGAUAUACUUGAGGGAUUAUAAAACUUUUUGUUGAGAGACAGACCAAGGAGCGCAGAACAAGAAAAAGCCCGGCAAAUUGCUUCCGUUAUAUAUAUAAAAAAAAGAUAAAUAAGGGAAAGGAAAGAGUUCUGCAUGAAGCGAUGGCAAAAAACAGCAGUACCAGGGGACGAUUAUUAAGCAAGAUAACGGUAACGAAAAAGCUUAGAAUCAGUGUGUGUGUGUGUGUGUGUGUGUGUGUGUGUGUGUGUGUGUGUGUUGCAGUUAGAGAGGAAUAUGUAGCUUGCUCCCCCUCCUCCUCCUCCUCCUCUUGCCCUCUAUGCCCUGUCUCCUCCCCUCUCUCAUAAAGUCUUGUCGCCUGUCGCUAACAUGGUGUAUACACGGCCAUAAUGUUUUAAGUUGUGUGUGUGUGUGUGUGUGUGUGUGUGUGUGUGUGUGUGUGUGUGUGUGUGUGGCGCGCUGGCGGUUGUGGCUUAUCGUGUCGGCUCACCUUGAACCGCCAACAACAUUAACAUAUGAAAUUGCCCGCCCCUCGCAUGGCACCGGGUGAGUGACUGGCCGUGUGGUGGAGGAAGGGGGUGGGGGGAGUGUUGUGUUCUCGUGCGGCGUAUGCAGGUGUGGCGGUGCUGCAAGACGAGGCGGGGGGAGGGGGGUUGCGCUGUGGCUGGACGUGGUGGGGGGAGACUGAUUGUGUUCGGAAUGGUGUGGUAGGCUGGCUCCGACUGACCGCCCCGUCCCGGACAGCCCUCGGAGGGUCGGCGCCGCUGGGUAGGCUGUACGUUAUGAUGCUAUCUGGUGUGCGCCGCCCCGCGAAACAAGGAACAUUCCUCACCCGACAGUGGCGGGACCUGACCUCGCCCAGCUGGCUGCGUGACCCCCAAGACCCCCUGUGGUGGGCGGCAGUACUUCCGAGCUGGCCCGGCCCUCGUGGCGGAAGUGUCUUUUCUUUGGUAAACCACGUAAUGUUGCUGAAGUGACGACUAAGGAGAGUCCCUAUUGAUGGGACGCUCUUGCCAGCUACCUGUUGUGUCUUCGCCUCCAGCAACACGCUCUGCAGGAGACCGGCGUGGAGCCCGUGCAGGACAGUGAGCCUGGACGGAAAUGCGGCGGUCACUGCACCCAGCCAUCAGCUCCGCCCGCUGGCCACGAUAAUGACGGCACGCGUGCACGGCCUUGCGAUGCUGCUGUGACUCCGGAGAGUUUCUCGAGUCUCGGAACUAAUACUGUUCACCGUGUGUGCCCACAGCUCCUGACGGGGGCGGAAGGGCGCGGCUGUUUUUCCUUUGGGCUUGAUGGGUGGAGGUCCUGCACCCAAGCCUUCUGCCCAUACCCAGGCGUCGCAUGAUUGCCUUCCUGCCCUGGGCACCGCACGCAUUGGAGGAAAUCUUGCCUCGCAACACUAAAAUGACCUUUGCUCUAAUUACGGCCUUCCCUUUGCCCCACACAGUGGCCAGGAUUACGCGAAGAUUUUAGUGCCGCUAAAUUACUCUUGAAGCGCUUGAGAGGUGGCGUUUGUGCGCUGAGCAACGACGAGGAGUCAUUACUGGCGCGAGUUGUGGCUCCGCUCUGGUACACUGGCUCGCGGGGCUGCUCCGGGCGGCCGCUGGUGCCCUGCUUGGCGGCGGCACAGUGGUCGCCCUUGGUGGACUGCUUGCUGCAGGAGGUAGGAUCUGGUAGCUCGGGGAGAAGGAGAACUAGGGGAGGGAGCGGAGAGGGGGAGGAUACACAGGAGGGAGGAAGGAUGGCGGUGAACAGGAAGAGGUGCAGGAUAAUUGAAGUUGCCUCACUUAUUUUUAUGUCUUCAUUACCAAGUGUCAGAGUAAUGCCGGGUUUGGAAGAACACUUGAAAGGUGACUCAUACCCUGUCGUGGCUUGCACUGAACGCGCGUGGGGUACGGGGCCAGGGAGGCUCUGGAGGCUGUUACGGAGCAGGGUGAGUUAGCGGAAUGGUAUACCUGCACGGCGAUGGGAGGACAAGACUCGUAUGUGGUAUUUUUUCGCCUUUUUCCGGGCAGUCUUGUGUAAAGCUUUAGUAGGAGUGAGUCUGGAGAGGACAUAUUGGAGGAACACAAAAGAGGCGGGGAGGGUUGGGUGGCCUGACUGAUACACACGAAGGGCGAAACAAUACGGGUUGUCAGGGAGGACAGACAGACGCGGACGGGCUUGGCUGAGGAGAAAAUGGAAGGAAAAGAUCAGGAGCAAGAUUAGAGCGAGGAGGAAGGGCGAACGAAGGAUGACUGCAGGUACGGAGAGGAGGAGAGAACGUGUGUGGGGAGGGGGCGGGGGGGGGCCACACGCACACAGACCACCAUUGCACAAGGCUGGGUGGCUGGGUGGGUGGUUGGGUACAGGGGAAGCAGACGGCCUUUACCAGCAUGGGUUCGAGCCCCGGGGAAGUUGUGAAGUAAGUGAAGUGGAGAGCACGUUGAUGAGUAGGGCGCUUCUGCUGAUUUACUGCUUAUCCUGCUGUGGAAACUACCUAGGAGAGAGGAAGGGGGGGGGGGUACUAUUGAUGGGAGGAAGAUGGGAUAGGGAGGCAGGCUGGAGCGAGUGGGCGAGUGUAUUAGUGGGGAUGGGAAGGGAAGGGGAGGGGGUGGGGUGCACUUGAUGGGAGGAAGAUGGGAUAGGGAGGCAGGCUGGGACGAGUGGGCGAGUGUAUUAGUGGGGAUGGGAAGGGAAUGAGAGGUGUGGUAGAGGUAGAUGUAUUAGUGCUGAUGGUGGGGAAGGUGUGCUGUGCUUGGGAACCUCUUGAUGGGAGAAUUGGGAAGGGGAGAAAGGAUGGAGUGUGUCUAUUAGCGGCGUCGGGGAGGGUUGGGUGAGGUGAGGGAGAGAAAGUAUAAGUGAUAAGCGAGUGCAGGAGAUUUUUAUUCAUCUAUGUAUUUAUUUGUUUAUUUAUUUAUUGGCGAGGGAAGGAGAGAGUGUAAGUGAAUGAAGGAAUGUGUGAGAGAGAAAGAGAUAGAUAGAGAGUAUAUUUAGCAUUCAUUAAGAAAAACUAAGAUUCACGAUGUGUUUGCGGAAGCGGAAGAGAGAGAGAGAGAGUAGAGAGGUGCACUUGACAACUCGCCAAUAUUUAGUGAGCGAAGAAAAUGGGAAACUAAAAAAUGUGCUGCUUUCGGCUUUCGGCUCUCACAAUAAAUACUUCCCAGGACCACAAAGGAGAUUAAUCGGGUUCUCAUGAGUGCUUUCACAUUCAUGGUGCAGAUGCAUUGUCAAACUAUCACAAGGCUCAUAAAACUACCCAUGGAAACACCCAGAACAACCUCCACGAAAACCCUAUCAAAUGUAGGUGUGGAAGCCUUGUCAAACUAUCAUCAUACCCAUAAAACUACCCAUGGAAACACCCACAACAACCUCCACGAAAAUCCUAUCAAAUGUGGGUGUGGAAGCCUUGUCAAACGAUCAUCAUACCCAUAAAACUACCCAUGGAAACACCCACAACAACCUCCACGAAAAUCCUAUCAAAUGUGGGUGUGGAAGCCUUGUCAAACGAUCACCACUCCUAUAAAACUACCCAUGGACACACCCACAACAUCCUCCACGAAAGCCUUAUCCAAUGUGUGAAAGUCAUCAAACACGUUGGCGAGAGUGAGGAAGGCGAAGAGCAUAGCUGCAUAGAUUGGAUCGCUGGUCAGGGUGAUGAGAGCAAGGGAGUGGAGCACCCCGCCGACUGAUAGCAGAGUAAUCAUGAUGAAGGGAGGGGAAGGGAAGGGAACACCGACCAGGCACGCAACUCACCUUAUACGUUUUCACAGGCGCAGGUGAGGGAGAGCCGGGUAACUAUAUGUAUGAUGAAGUGGUGAUGGCUAAACACCUGAUUCAUGCAGGUACACACUUCAUACACGCUCGAGUUUGUUUGGACUGGGAAUUAAAACAGAAGAGGAGACAGAUUAUAGUGAAUGAACAUGAACACUUUGCUGCCUGCCGACGUAUAUACCCAACUUUUCCUUCCCUUUCUCCCUCUUGUGAAUGAAGAUAGACAGUGUACUAUUGUUUGUUGUUUAAUUACCGUCCACUCUCGCAAGGUAGUUAAGUGAUAGUGGGUGAAAUUUUAAGUUGGAAGUAUGUGUGGGUAAUUUUUUUCCCGUGGUUUUGAUGAGUAAACACACACACACACACACACACACACACACACACACACACACACACACACACACACACACGUACA